rnacentral:lncRNA from 1 species
GCGGCGGAUUUACUCCAAUGUCCACCACUUCCCAACAUCUUGUGGCUAUGAGAUGUAGCUUCAUCCUAUGAGCCCAAUCAGUGUACCUUACACCAUCAAAUGGAGGUGGUUUUCUAGGAUUGAUCAUUGACAAGGUUGGAUUCAUGCUUCAACCACCACAGUAAAAGCUAGCUUUGUUGUAGUUCUUUGAUGUUUUGCUACU